ACGCAAAGUGGAAGCAGUACUAGGAAAGCUAAAGUCCAAAGAGUUUCUCCAUACUUGCAGGCAUCAACUAGGAAAAGAUGCAGCAAAGCUCAACCUAAAGUCCGAAAAGUUUCUCCAUACUUCCAGGGAUCAACUGUUCCAGAACAGCCAAGAGAUAUGCGUCAAUACUUUAAGGUCGUGAAAGUUUCUGUUACGUGGCCCAUUUAUGUGAAUGGCAAUUAGAUUAAUGGGCUAGAGUAUGUGGGCUGGGUCAUAAGUCUUUGCCCUAAUCUUUUAGUAACUAGUAUAUAAGGAGGUCUAAGAAUUAGAGAGAAGUUAUCUAGAGAUUAGAUUCAUGUUCAUGGAGAGGUGAGAGUACUCUCAAAGUUAUUUGUAAACACUUUUUAUUAUCUAUAAAAUCAGUAUUUCUAUUGUUCAAUCACUGUGUUACCAAAUCGAUACCUAAAACGUACCAGUUUCAAGAUAUUUCCAUGGCCUGUCUGCCCAAGUAAAUGAAUCACAAAAGGAGAUGAUACCAAGAAGGGUGAGGAAAACUCCUCUUGUGAGCCCUUCUCUGUCUCAGUCUCAGAAGACUGAUGAGGCAUACCUCCGGAAACCGCCUGAUAACACAUGGGUGCCUCCACGAUCUCCAUGUAAUCUACUUCAAGAAGAUCACUGGCAUGAUCCAUGGCGGGUGCUGAUCAUAUGUAUGCUUCUCAACAAAACUUGUGGUGCACAGGUUUGUCCUCAUUCCUCUCCCUUUUCCAUAUCUUUGCGCAACUUAUAUAAUUUUAGUAGAGAGUAGGAAGUGAGACCUAUGUUGGUUUGAAUCUUACUGUCUCAAAAGAAGUAGAUGCAAGUCUUUUUUUUUUAUGAGUAAUUGAUUCAGACGUGACUGGAACUGCUUGCUCUUGUAAGAAGAAAAGGCUUACUUGUGGGUCAGUUGAUUUUUCUAAACGUGAUUGCAAACGCGGGGGGUGAUAUCAGACCUCUUUGCGCUGUGUCCUAAUGCAAAGACUACUACAAAAGUCGAAGAGAAAGAGAUAUAGACUCUGAUAAAGCCUCUUGGACUACAGAAGAAGAGAUCCUAAAUAAUACGACGGUUUUCUCUCGAGUAUCUUCAAGAGAGCUGGACUCAUGUCACUCAACUGCAUGGAGUUGGAAAGUAUGCAGCGGAUGCGUAUGCCAUAUUCUGUAAUGGGAAGUGGGAUUGUGUGAGACCUGAUGAUCAUAUGCUAAACUAUUACUGGGAAUUCCUCAGGAUUCGCUUUAGGUUAUGAGUGGGAAGAAGAUACAUGUAUGUAUUGCGCUGAUAAUAUUUUUCUUUGCUCUGUUUCACAAAUGUUGAAAAGUUGUAAAUGAUAGAUAUCUUAACUUCAUGUUUGUUUAAUCUUGUAUUGUAAUGUCUCUGGUAUCAUAUAUGAGUUCUUUAUGUGUUUAAUAUUUGUCAAA